rnacentral:snoRNA from 14 species
UGACGGUUGGAAUAUGAUGAGUAUGCAGAAUCUUGAUUUUAAAAAAUGAAAAGUUACAAGAUCCAACUCUGAUUUCAUCCUAAG